GAUGAACGCUGGCGGCGUGCCUAAUACAUGCAAGUCGAGCGAACCACUUCGGUGGUGAGCGGCGAACGGGUGAGUAACACGUAGGUUAUCUGCCCAUCAGACGGGGACAACGAUUGGAAACGAUCGCUAAUACCGGAUAGGACGAAAGUUUAAAGGUGCUUCGGCACCACUGAUGGAUGAGCCUGCGGCGCAUUAGCUAGUUGGUAGGGUAAAGGCCUACCAAGGCGACGAUGCGUAGCCGACCUGAGAGGGUGAACGGCCACACUGGGACUGAGACACGGCCCAGACUCCUACGGGAGGCAGCAGUAGGGAAUCUUCGGCAAUGGGCAAAGCCUGACUGAGCAACGCCGCGUGAAGGAUGAAAAUCCCUCGGGAUGUAAACUUCGCAAGAACGGGAAGAAUAAGUAGGGGACAA
rnacentral:rRNA from 1 species